UCUUGUUCGCACCCUUCUCUACCACUAAAACCUUCAAUUCACAAGGGGAAGUGAAUUGAAAGGAUUGAUUGAGGUCUUUGGUAUCUGGAGCUAUAUCGAGUUCCAGGGACAUGGGAGGAGAUGAUGAAAGCACCUUCAGAACGCAUCAUCAUGAUGACACCGUCGACGAGGCUGUUGAAUCCUUGGGGAGGCAGAUGAGACAACCUAGGAGGCAUUUGCUCACAACGGGUUGGAGUACAUUUGUAUCCUCGAAAAGACUCGUAGCUGGAGAUGCGUUUGUGUGCUUGAGGUGAGAAUGGGGAUUUGAGAGUUGGAAUGGGAGUCCUUGCUACAGAUUCUCAUGCUGUUGUUAUCAAAACUAUCUUUCUUGUGUUUUACAAGCCUAGGAUAAGUCAGUUCAUAGUAGGGGUUAACAAGUAUAUGGAAGCUAUAUAGCAUUGAUUCUCUCUUGGUACACAAAUCAGAAUGAGAUUUGAAGGAGGAGAGUCCCCUGAGUGAAUGUUUACCGGAACCAUUGUGGGAAUUGGAGAUCUAUCUUUACAAUAGCCAGCUUCUAAGUGGAGAACAGUGCAGGUCCAACAGGAUGAGCCAACAACAGUUCAGAGACCUGACAGAGUCUCACCAUGGGAGAUCGAUCCGUUCUUGCCAUCUUCCCCAGUUUUAACACCUGCUCAACAAUCACAACCCAAAUGCAAGCGAUCAAGACCUGUAGAAUCAUCUGUUUUGUUCAGUAAUGUAGUUAGAAAGAUGAGUUUGUUCUCAAGUCUCUUUCUUGAUGAUAUUGAUUGUGUCAUAUCCUGAGAUGUAUAAUGGCUAUUUGUCUCAGUCAAAAGCUGCAAGAUGAAAGUUUAAAAGAAUCUUCUUGACAAAAUGCAUCAUCAUAUGGCGUUGAAGGGA